rnacentral:rRNA from 1 species
GAUGAACGCUGGCGGCGUGCCUAAUACAUGCAAGUCGAGCGAACGUACGAGAAGCUUGCUUCUCUGAUGUUAGCGGCGGACGGGUGAGUAACACGUGGAUAACCUACCUAUAAGACUGUGAUAACUUCGGGAAACCGGAGCUAAUACCGGAUAAUAUUUUGAACCGCAUGGUUCAAAAGUGAAAGACGGUCUUGCUGUCACUUAUAGAUGGAUCCGCGCUGCAUUAGCUAGUUGGUAAGGUAACGGCUUACCAAGGCAACGAUGGAUAGCCGACCUGAGAGGGUGAACGGCCACCCUGGAAGUGAGGAAGGGCACAGACUUCGGCAGGGAGAAGCGGUAGAGAAUCUUACGCGAGGGGGGAGAGGCUGACGGAGCGAAACCGGGUGAGUGAUGAAGGACUUAGGAUCGGAAAACUCUGUUAUUAGGGGGAAACAUAUAUGUAAGUAACGGUGCACAUAUUGACGGUACCUAGACAGAAAGCCACGGCUAACUACGUG